GAAAUGACUUUUUCAACAUCAAUUACUGGCGGAGCUAGGCCGGGAACCCAGGCUCCUAACCUCACCUGGUUCUCCUCCACUGCCCCGGGCACCGAGGCCAUUAGCAGUGAUGGUGUGAUUCUAAUUCUGGAAAGUAGUUUGGGCUUUGGAAUCAAACAGACAAGAGCACAAACCACAGCUCCACAACAUGUGACCUUGGACAAGCACCUUUACCUCUUCUCUACAUGUUGGUUUCCCUCCUUGUAAUAUGGGAUGGAGACUAGUAACUGCCUCCUCUGCUGGUAAAUAAGAUACAAUCCAAAGGCACAGAGCACCUGGCCCAGAGAGAUUGCUUCGUAUCUGCUAUCCAGCAUGGCCAUCUGAUGGGGCCUGGACCUGGCUAAUUGUGGGCCCUGCUCCUCCCUCUGCCUGAGCCCCCAGCAGCUUCUCUGACCCAGCUGGAGGAAGAAGCUCUGAUGGGCAUCUCCUGUCCGUGCACAUCAAGUUAUUUCUAGUUGAUUUGUUAUUGUGGUUGUUGUGGUUGUUAUUUCUACUAAGAACAUUGAGCUAUGAAUAAACUGUGCAUUUUUCUUGAUGAAUGUGGAAAAGAGAUUCUCUAGGGUGUACAUAAUAAUAA
ensembl:lncRNA